UACGUAGGUGGCAAGCGUUGUCCGGAUUUAUUGGGUUUAAAGGGUGCGUAGGCGGCCUAUUAAGUCAGUGGUGAAAUAUCUCAGCUCAACUGGGAAGGUGCCAAUGAUACUGAUGGGCUUGAGUACAGAUGAGGUAGGCGGAAUUGACGGUGUAGCGGUGAAAUGCUUAGAUAUCGUCAAGAACACCUAUAGCGAAGGCAGCUUACUAGGCUGUAACUGACGCUGAGGCACGAAAGUGUGGGGAUCAAACAGG
rnacentral:rRNA from 1 species